CUACGGGCGGCUCCAGUGGGGAAUAUUGGGCAAUGGGCGCAAGCCUGACCCAGCAACGCCGCGUGAGGGAAGAAGGUUUUCGGAUUGUAAACCUCUGUCCUUGGGGACGAAGAAGUGACGGUACCCAAGGAGGAAGCUCCGGCUAACUACGUGCCAGCAGCCGCGGUAAUACGUAGGGAGCAAGCGUUGUCCGGAAUUACUGGGCGUAAAGGGUGCGUAGGCGGCAUAUUAAGUCAGGUGUGAAAUACUCGGGCUCAACCCGAGGGGUGCAUUUGAAACUGAUAAGCAUGAGUGUGAGAGAGGAAAGUGGAAUUCCUAGUGUAGCGGUGGAAUGCGUAGAUAUUAGGAGGAACACCAGUGGCGAAGGCGACUUUCUGGCUCAUAACUGACGCUGAGGCAUGAAAGCGUGGGGAGCAAACAGGAUUAGAUACCCGGGUAGUC
rnacentral:rRNA from 1 species